UGGGGAAUAUUGCACAAUGGGCGAAAGCCUGAUGCAGCAACGCCGCGUGAGUGAUGAAGGUCUUCGGAUUGUAAAGCUCUGUCUUUUGGGACGAUAAUGACGGUACCAAAGGAGGAAGCCACGGCUAACUACGUGCCAGCAGCCGCGGUAAUACGUAGGUGGCGAGCGUUGUCCGGAUUUACUGGGCGUAAAGGGUGCGUAGGCGGAUGUUUAAGUGAGAUGUGAAAUACCCGGGCUUAACUUGGGUGCUGCAUUUCAAACUGGAUAUCUAGAGUGCAGGAGAGGAGAAUGGAAUUCCUAGUGUAGCGGUGAAAUGCGUAGAGAUUAGGAAGAACACCAGUGGCGAAGGCGAUUCUCUGGACUGUAACUGACGCUGAGGCACGAAAGCGUGGGUAGCAAACAGGAUUAGAUACCCUGGUAGUCCACGCCGUAAAUGAUGAGUACUAGGUGUAGGAGGUAUCGACCCCUUCUGUGCCGCAGUAAACACAUUAAGUACUCCGCCUGGGAAGUACGAUCGCAA
rnacentral:rRNA from 1 species